rnacentral:rRNA from 1 species
AAUAGAUACCCAGGUAGUCCACGCCGUAAACGGUGGGCACUAGAUGUGGGGGCUCUUUCCAUGAGUUCCGCGUCGCAGCUAACGCAUUAAGUGCCCCGCCUGGGGAGUACGGCCGCAAGGCUAAAACUCAAAGGAAUUGACGGGGGCCCGCACAAGCGGCGGAGCAUGCGGAUUAAUUCGAUGCAACGCGAAGAACCUUACCAAGGCUUGACAUAUACGGUCUAUCCCUAGAGAUAGGGAGUGCUUCGGCGCCGUAUACAGGUGGUGCAUGGUUGUCGUCAGCUCGUGUCGUGAGAUGUUGGGUUAAGUCCCGCAACGAGCGCAACCCUCGUCCUAUGUUGCCAGCGGGUAAUGCCGGGGACUCAUGGGAGACUGCCGGGGUCAACUCGGAGGAAGGUGGGGAUGAGGUCAAAUCAUCAUGCCCCUUAUGUCUUGGGCUUCACGCAUGCUACAAUGGCCGGUACAAAGGGCUGCAAUACCGCAAGGUGGAGCGAAUCCCAAAAAGCCGGUCUCAGUUCGGAUUGAGGU